ACCCCGCUUAAUCGACCCAA
rnacentral:miRNA from 1 species